AAGGGAGACCAACCGAAUCAACGUAGAAAUAAAAGAGUGUGUUGAGAAGGAAAAACCCUGGUCGAGCAAGGAAAAAGAAGAGAGUGAAGUGAACUUUCAAACUAGAGGUGAGGUUCGGUAAAUGGGCUAUUAGCUCAGGUGGUUAGAGCGCACCCCUGAUAAGGGUGAGGUCCCUGGUUCAAGUCCAGGAUAGCCCACCUAAGAGAGAUAAGGGGGUAUAGCUCAGUUGGUAGAGCGCUGCCUUUGCAAGGCAGAAGUCAGCGGUUCGAGUCCGCUUACCUCCAGAGUGGAGGAAAAAAGAGAGUUCAGCAAUAAGACCUGAAUGAGUCAAGUCAUGCUGCUGGUGAUCUCGAAACCAGUAAGAACCUUGAAAACUGCAUAGUCAAAAGAAAGUUAAAGUAACUGAACCAGAGGUUAGGUAAAACCUAAUAGAAAUCAAGUUUGGUGCAGAAAAGUGGUCAAGUUAUAAAGGGCUGACGGUA
rnacentral:tRNA from 1 species